AUACGUAGGUGGCGAGCGUUGUCCGGAUUUACUGGGUGUAAAGGGCGUGUAGGCGGGUAUGCAAGUCAGAUGUGAAAUACCGGGGCUCAACUCCGGGGCUGCAUUUGAAACUGUAUAUCUUGAGUGCAGGAGAGGGAAGUGGAAUUCCUAGUGUAGCGGUGAAAUGCGUAGAUAUUAGGAAGAACACCAGUGGCGAAGGCGACUUCCUGGACUGUAACUGACGCUGAGGCGCGAAAGCGUGGGGAGCGAACAGGAUUAGAUACCCUGGUAGUCCACGCUGUAAACGAUGGAUACUAGGUGUAGGGGGUAUCGACCCCUUCUGUGCCGGAGUUAACACAAUAAGUAUCCCACCUGGGGAGUACGGCCGCAAGGUUGAA
rnacentral:rRNA from 1 species